rnacentral:rRNA from 1 species
CGAUACAGGGUGACAGCCCCGUACACAAAAGCGCAUGUGCUGUGAGCUCGAUGAGUAGGGCGGGACACGUGGUAUCCUGUCUGAAUAUGGGGGGACCAUCCUCCAAGGCUAAAUACUCCUGACUGACCGAUAGUGAACCAGUACCGUGAGGGAAAGGCGAAAAGAACCCCGGCGAGGGGAGUGAAAAAGAACCUGAAACCGUGUACGUACAAGCAGUGGGAGCACAGGUUUACCUGUGUGACUGCGUACCUUUUGUAUAAUGGGUCAGCGACUUAUAUUCUGUAGCAAGGUUAACCGUAUAGGGGAGCCGAAGGGAAACCGAGUCUUAAUUGGGCGUUAAGUUGCAGGGUAUAGACCCGAAACCCGGUGAUCUAGCCAUGGGCAGGUUGAAGGUUGGGUAACACUAACUGGAGGACCGAACCGACUAAUGUUGAAAAAUUAGCGGAUGACCUGUGGCUGGGGGUGAAAGGCCAAUCAAACCGGGAGAUAGCUGGUUCUCCCCGAAAGCUAUUUAGGUAGCGCCUCGUGAAUUCAUCUCCGGGGGUAGAGCACUGUUUCGGCUAGGGGGCCAUCCCGGCUUACCAACCCGAUGCAAACUGCGAAUACCGGAGAAUGUUAUCACGGGAGACACACGGCGGGUGCUAACGUCCGUCGUGAAGAGGGAAACAACCCAGACCGCCAGCUAAGGUCCCAAAGUCAUGGUUAAGUGGGAAACGAUGUGGGAAGGCCCAGACAGCCAGGAUGUUGGCUUAGAAGCAGCCAUCAUUUAAAGAAAGCGUAAUAGCUCACUGGUCGAGUCGGCCUGCGCGGAAGAUGUAACGGGGCUAAACCAUGCACCGAAGCUGCGGCAGCGACACUGUGUGUUGUUGGGUAGGGGAGCGUUCUGUAAGCCUGUGAAGGUGUGUCGUGAGGCAUGCUGGAGGUAUCAGAAGUGCGAAUGCUGACAUAAGUAACGAUAAAGCGGGUGAAAAGCCCGCUCGCCGGAAGACCAAGGGUUCCUGUCCAACGUUAAUCGGGGCAGGGUGAGUCGACCCCUAAGGCGAGGCCGAAAGGCGUAGUCGAUGGGAAACGGGUUAAUAUUCCCGUACUUGGUGUUACUGCGAAGGGGGGACGGAGAAGGCUAUGUUGGCCGGGCGACGGUUGUCCCGGUUUAAGCGUGUAGGUGUGUGUUCCAGGUAAAUCCGGUU